rnacentral:rRNA from 1 species
UACGUAGGGGGCUAGCGUUGUCCGGAUUUAUUGGGCGUAAAGAGCGUGUAGGCGGCCAUGUAGGUCCGGUGUGAAAACUCGAGGCUUAACCUCGAGAUGUCAUCGGAAACCAUUUGGCUAGAGUCCGGAAGAGGAGAGUGGAAUUCCUGGUGUAGCGGUGAAAUGCGCAGAUAUCAGGAAGAACACCAAUGGCGGAAGCAGCUCGCUGGGACGUUACUGACGCUGAGACGCGAAAGCGUGGGGAGCAAACAGG